rnacentral:rRNA from 1 species
GCGGCGGACGGGUGAGUAAUGCCUAGGAAUCUGCCUGGUAGUGGGGGAUAACGUUCGGAAACGGGCGCUAAUACCGCAUACGUCCUACGGGAGAAAGUGGGGGAUCUUCGGACCUCACGCUAUCAGAUGAGCCUAGGUCGGAUUAGCUAGUUGGUGGGGUAAUGGCUCACCAAGGCGACGAUCCGUAACUGGUCUGAGAGGAUGAUCAGUCACACUGGAACUGAGACACGGUCCAGACUCCUACGGGAGGCAGCAGUGGGGAAUAUUGGACAAUGGGCGAAAGCCUGAUCCAGCCAUGCCGCGUGUGUGAAGAAGGUCUUCGGAUUGUAAAGCACUUUAAGUUGGGAGGAAGGGCAGUAAGUUAAUACCUUGCUGUUUUGACGUUACCAACAGAAUAAGCACCGGCUAACUUCGUGCCAGCAGCCGCGGUAAUACGAAGGGUGCAAGCGUUAAUCGGAAUUACUGGGCGUAAAGCGCGCGUAGGUGGUUCAGCAAGUUGGAGGUGAAAUCCCCGGGCUCAACCUGGGAACUGCCUCCAAAACUACUGAGCUAGAGUACGGUAGAGGGUAGUGGAAUUUCCUGUGUAGCGGUGAAAUGCGUAGAUAUAGGAAGGAACACCAGUGGCGAAGGCGACUACCUGGACUGAUACUGACACUGAGGUGCGAAAGCGUGGGGAGCAAACAGGAUUAGAUACCCUGGUAGUCCACGCCGUAAACGAUGUCGACUAGCCGUUGGGAUCCUUGAGAUCUUAGUGGCGCAGCUAACGCGAUAAGUCGACCGCCUGGGGAGUACGGCCGCAAGGUUAAAACUCAAAUGAAUUGACGGGGGCCCGCACAAGCGGUGGAGCAUGU